CUUCUCUCCAAUCCAGCGCCUCUUUCCAAUCCAGCAGCGCCUCUUCUCCACCCAUUUCUCUUGUUGCAACAUCUCUUCUCCGCUCAUUCCUCUGCAUCUCUUGAGGGUGAGUGAAAGCCAUGGGUGAUGCAAGGGGGUCUUCUUCCUUCUCCAACUUAAAUUCUGGUAGUGUUGAUCAUGCUCUUUUGAAACCUGUUAAAAUCGAAAAGGGAAGGCGCGCUUGGUCUGUCCGGGAAGAAGAAAUAUUUCUAUCUUCGCUGAAGGAACUUGUCGCAAUUGGAUGGAAGACGGACAACGGAUUUAA